rnacentral:rRNA from 1 species
UAGGGAAUCCUCGGCAAUGGGGGGAACCCUGACCGAGCAACGCCGCGUGAGUGAAGAAGGUUUUCGGAUCGUAAAGCUCUGUCGUUAAGGAAGAACGUGUGUGAGAGUGGAAAGUUCACACAGUGACGGUACUUAACCAGAAAGGGACGGCUAACUACGUGCCAGCAGCCGCGGUAAUACGUAGGUCCCGAGCGUUGUCCGGAUUUAUUGGGCGUAAAGCGAGCGCAGGCGGUUAGAUAAGUCUGAAGUGAAAGGCAGUGGCUCAACCAUUGUAGGCUUUGGAAACUGUUUAACUCGAGUGCAGAAGGGGAGAGUGGAAUUCCAUGUGUAGCGGUGAAAUGCGUAGAUAUAUGGAGGAACACCGGUGGCGAAAGCGGCUCUCUGGUCUGUAACUGACGCUGAGGCUCGAAAGCGUGGGGAGCGAACAGGGUUAGAUACCCUGGUAGUCCACGCCGUAAACGAUGAGUGCUAGGUGUUAGGUCCUUUCCGGGACUUAGUGCCGCAGCUAACGCAUUAAGCACUCCGCCUGGGGAGUACGACCGCAAGGUUG